rnacentral:snoRNA from 1 species
CCAUGAUGAAUUAUUCCAGCUGGCACCAGUCAUAGGACGACUUUGUACUCUGCCCUUGAUGACAAAGCUGCGGUCAUUGACCAAUCCUGAUCUCUUUU